CCCUCUGCAUCCCAAAUUCCCACAUCGCUGCCAUGGCCAACAUCCUCCUCGAGGAUGGUGACGCCACCACGCGCAGCUCGUGAAGCCCGUCCACAUACUCACAGGUGUGCUGCCCCGCCGCCGGCCGCGGCUGCUGCCGCCGCGCUGCUGGAGCGCGUCAAGAAAAUCGGCUUCGGGCCGCCAUGCUGGCCUGCGGGUGGGACGCCGGUGCUACGGAGCCAUUUCCCUAAUCGAUCAGGUGCUCCCUGCAUUCUCUCUCAGCUGUACCGUGUUUUCAAGGCCACACUGCAGCAGGACUAGCUAGGAGCACCGGUGACCAACUUGUCGACGAGGUGUGUGGCAGCUUUGACGGCAGCAGCGGCGCAGCAUGUCGUGGUGUUGUUUGCUCACAGCAGCCACCCAGUUUUGCGCUUCUCCGCUGGACGCUGUAGGGGUGCCGUGCCAUAUGGAAGACGGGAAGACGCUCACAUGCCGGUUUGCUGGGUUUGCCGGGAAGCUCAGCCCGACGAGUUUGGGUUCUUCAACCUUCUCCAUGGAUUCAAUGGUUGGCUUGUAACUUUGAAUCAAUUUUGAUUUCUCUCAAUCUCUAUAUCUCAGUUUCACGUAGUCGUUCCACCAAGUUGUAGCCGUUUCUUCAUGUUCUUAUUAGCAUUGCAAUUGGUAUUUGAGUAAUUUUUCUUGCAGGCAUGAUUUUGUGUAAACGAAAAUCUUGCAAGGAAGAGGUUACGAACCUGAAUGGUAUGGAGGACGUACUACAUGUGUACAUCAAGGGAAAAAAGAGGAGAAACGUGUAUUUGAACCCAAGAGCCUUGACACCCACUAAUUACUUUGUAGAGUCCUCAAGAUCUAUAUAACUGCCUACAGGUACUUAUUUUCCUAUCUAAGUAGGACCUCCAUCAUUAUAGCCGCCUCCACCUGCACUUCUCCACUUCUUUGCUGUUGCCGAGCACUAGCAUUUUCGGCCAUCAAUUUUGCUCACUGCCGCUCACGGUCUAUAUGCUGCAGCUUCGAGCAUCUUCUUGCAGCAAAAGACAGCAAAGGAAAUGAUGUUGGCUCUGCUGGAUGGAACAAAUUUGAACUAAUGUUCUGCUGAGCAUUCUACUUCUACGUACAUCAAAGUUAUCCACAAUUGACUCGUGAUUUCUCAUCAUAGCUGUGUCCUUCACUGCUCCUUUGUUUUGCUUGAAGUGUUAGAUUUUUGUCAUGGGUGAAUAAAGAGAUUAGAAAAUAGAGGCUCACGCCUCAAGAUGUUUGAUGUUAGGACUAAACAGAAAGGAGAGGACCAUUUUUUUGUUUCGCAAGUUUGCUAGCAUCAAACUGUAUCAAGUUCAGUGACUCAUGUGCAUAUGGUAAGUGUGUUUAAUAGAAUGAUUCGUGCAAAAUCUUAUCCAAGCUAAUGCGUGAAUUAGAACGAAAUUCAUGAGAGAUGAGUAGAAUCAGAAUUCAGAACUGAUACCCAAGCUGGGAGCCGUUUUCCGGUUUCUUAUUUUUGUACGAUAACUGUAUUCUCUAAUCAAUUGAUUGAAGCUGGGAGCCAUUUUCUGGUUUCUUAUUUUUGUAUGAUAACUGUAUUCUCUAAUCAAUUGAUUGAAGCAGGACAUGUUGUCUAUUUUAACUCAACACACUGCUCUCUUUGAAUUGAUUGAAGGAGUUUCUACAGUGCACCAUAUCAAAAUUGAAGAUAUCAUACUGUUGUUGCAAUGCUUUAAUAUAUAUAGUUUUCCCUGGUCGGCUUUUAGUGGAGUUGGGUGUGUUGGGGCGCACUAUAAUACAGUACUAGAUAUGUGGAAGGAUGGAGUUCACUUAGAAUCUUAGUCAGAUGAUAACUUCUUUUCCUCGAUGUAUAUCCUAACAGGUUCCUUUCAAAAUUACUUUUGUGAAGUAGCCUCAUUAGUUAUACACCAUCCUGGCGUUGCUCCUUGGUCCGAUAGUUACGUGCUUGCUUAACUGACGAAUGUUCUUCUACACUAGGAAUAUGAUGUUGGUUGUUCAGAGACAUGAAAAAUAUUCGGGGUUGUGCUCUUGGGUCUUCCUUAUAUUUAAGUUCUUGGGUCUUCCUUAUAUUUAAAGAGCGUGCAUAUAAAAUAGAUAUAGUGUCUAGAUCCAAAUUUAUGCAAGUGUAGGUUACAUCAUGUGUGUAUUUCUUAGUUUAGUGCUUAACGGAUAACUAAAAGUCUGUUUCUUCAGGUUCGCGAGUCGCGACACACUCUUCCGACUGCUGGGCACUUUCAAAAUCAUGAUUAGUUUGUGGAUUGGCAAAAAAUCUCUCUCUGAAAGGUUAUCUUCAUUGUUUCGUAAUAUGCUAUUUAUCUUUUGUUUGACUAAAUUAAUCACUAUUAGACAUCUCUCUUGUCUGCCACUGUUGACU